CGCGGGUGAGUAACACGUAUCCAACCUGCCGUCUACUCUUGGCCAGCCUUCUGAAAGGAAGAUUAAUCCAGGAUGGCAUCAUGAGUUCACAUGUCCGCAUGAUUAAAGGUAUUUUCCGGUAGACGAUGGGGAUGCGUUCCAUUAGAUAGUAGGCGGGGUAACGGCCCACCUAGUCAACGAUGGAUAGGGGUUCUGAGAGGAAGGUCCCCCACAUUGGAACUGAGACACGGUCCAA
rnacentral:rRNA from 1 species